UCACUCCCUCCUCUACCCCCCUCACUCCUUGCUCCCUCUCACUCCUCUCUCCCUCUUCACUCCUCUCUCCACCUCACUCCUCUCUCCCCCUCACUCCUUCUCUCUAACUCUGCCUCCUUUUCCCCUUCUCAGUCCCCAAAGGGAGUUCCUCUACGACCAUUCACGUAGAAAAAGUUUUCAAUCUCCCCGGCGAAAGCGCUGACACAGCCGCGGAACGCCGCGAAGAGAGCGAAGAAAGCCCGAAGAAAGCACCAGAACCGGCCCAAUGUGUGCUGCAAUGCAUCGGUCCCACGGAACCACAGUGUCCCCGAAGAGUAUCCACUGAUGCGCGAUACUUUUCACAUGGCAGUGCUAUGCACCAAAAAAAAAGAGACCGCACACACUUCUCCGCUGUGCAUGUGGAAACUUUACACGUAAUCGUUCCCGUGGUUUAGUCCCAUGCGUGUGGAGGAGGGAAGGUGUCCUCCAUGGUCUCCG
ensembl:lncRNA